rnacentral:sRNA from 1 species
UAAUAGGAAUAUAAAGCGGUGUCUCA